rnacentral:rRNA from 1 species
AGCGAACGCUGGCGGCAGGCCUAACACAUGCAAGUCGAACGAAGUCUUCGGACUUAGUGGCGGACGGGUGAGUAACACGUGGGAACGUGCCUUUAGGUUCGGAAUAACUCAGGGAAACUUGUGCUAAUACCGAAUGUGCCCUUCGGGGGAAAGAUUUAUCGCCUUUAGAGCGGCCCGCGUCUGAUUAGCUAGUUGGUGAGGUAAUGGCUCACCAAGGCUACGAUCAGUAGCUGGUCUGAGAGGAUGACCAGCCACAUUGGGUCUGAGACACGGCCCAAACUCCUACGGGAGGCAGCAGUGGGGAAUCUUGCGCAAUGGGCGAAAGCCUGACGCAGCCAUGCCGCGUGGAUGAUGAAGGUCUUAGGAUUGUAAAAUCCUUUCACCGGUGAAGACAAUGACUGUAGCCGGAGAAGAAGCCCCGGCUAACUUCGUGCCAGCCGCCGCCGUAACAC